CCCUUAGAUGUCCGGGGCCGCACGCGCGCUACACUGAAGGAAUCAGCGUGGCUUUCUCCCUGACCCGAAAGGGUUGGGAAACCCGUUGAAUCUCCUUCGUGAUAGGGAUUGGGGCUUGAAAUUGUUCCCCAUGAACGAGGAAUUCCCAGUAAGCGCGAGUCAUAAGCUCGCGUUGAUUACGUCCCUGCCCUUUGUACACACCGCCCGUCGCUACUACCGAUUGAACGGUUUAGUGAGGGCCUCGGAUUGGUCUCGGCCCGCUCUUUACCGGGCGGCCCCGUUGGUCGAGAAGACGCUCGAACUUGAUCGUUUAGAGGAAGUAAAAGUCGUAACA
rnacentral:rRNA from 1 species